GUUCUAUAAUCGAUAAUUCACGGUAAUUUUCACUUUAAUUAAAAAUUUAUAUACCGCCAUCUAAAGAAUUAAUUUAAUUAUAUUAUUCUUAAUAAAAAAUAAAAAGUUAGGUCAAGGUGUAAUUUACAUUAAAGUUUUAAUGGGUUACCUUAAAAAAAAUUUAAGAAUUAAUAUAUAUAAACAUAUUAUGAAAAAGAAUUCAAAAGUAAUAUUAUAAUAAUAUUAUAUUAUGAAUUAGAUAAUAAAUGUGCACACAUCGCCCGUC
rnacentral:rRNA from 1 species